AAACUCAAAGGAAUUGACGGGGGCCCGCACAAGCGUGGAGCAUGUGGUUUAAUUCGAUGAUACGCGAGGAACCUUACCAGGGCUUGACAUACACUGGAAUGGGCGUGAAAGCGUCCAGCCCCUCGGGGCCGGUGUACAGGUGCUGCAUGGCUGUCGUCAGCUCGUGCUGUGAAGUGUUGGGUUAAGUCCCGCAACGAGCGCAACCCCUAUCAUUAGUUGCCAUCAGGUCAAGCUGGGGACUCUAAUGAAACUGCCUACGCAAGUAGUGAGGAAGGUGGGGAUGACGUCAAAUCAGCACGGCCCUUACGUCCAGGGCUACACACGUGCUACAAUGGCCGAUACAGAGGGCAGCUACCUGGUGACAGGAUGCAAAUCUCCAAAGUCGGUCUCAGUUCGGAUCGGAGUCUGCAACCCGACUCCGUGAAGUUGGAUUCGCUAGUAAUCGCGCAUCAGCCAUGGCGCGGUGAAUACGUUCCCGGGCCUU
rnacentral:rRNA from 1 species